GGGUCAGUAGGUUGGUCGUGCCACCGGUACGUACUGGUCUCACUGAUUCCUCCUUCCUGAAGAACGGUAAUUCCAUUAAUUUGGUGUUGCGGGGAAACAGGACUGCUACUUUGAAAAAAUUAGAGUGUUUAAAGCAAGCUAACGCUUGAAUACAUUAGCAUGGAAUAAUGAAAUAGGACGAUCGAUCCUAUUUUGUUGGUUUCUAGGAUUGACGUA
rnacentral:rRNA from 1 species